CCUACGGGAGGCAGCAGUGGGGAAUAUUGCACAAUGGGGGAAACCCUGAUGCAGCGACGCCGCGUGAGUGAAGAAGUAUUUCGGUACGUAAAGCUCUAUCAGCAGGGAAGAAAAUGACGGUACCUGACUAAGAAGCCCCGGCUAACUACGUGCCAGCAGCCGCGGUAAUACGUAGGGGGCAAGCGUUAUCCGGAUUUACUGGGGGUAAAGGGAGCGUAGACGGCAGCGCAAGUCUGGAGUGAAAUCCCAUGGCUUAACCAUGGGACUGCUUUGGAAACUGUGCAGCUAGAGUGCAGGAGAGGUAAGCGGAAUUCCUAGUGUAGCGGUGAAAUGCGUAGAUAUUAGGAGGAACACCAGUGGCGAAGGCGGCUUACUGGACUGUAACUGACGUUGAGGCUCGAAAGCGUGGGGAGCAAACAGGAUUAGAUACCCCUGUAGUC
rnacentral:rRNA from 1 species